rnacentral:misc_RNA from 1 species
AUGAAGAACGUAGCGAAAUGCGAUAAGUAAUGUGAAUUGCAGAAUUCAGUGAAUCAUCGAAUCUUUGAACGCACAUUGCGCCCGCCAGCAUUCUGGCGGGCAUGCCUGUUCGAGCGUCAUUUCAACCCUCGAGCCCCCCCGGGGGCCUCGGUGUUGGGGGACGGCACACCAGCCGCCCCCGAAAUGCAGUGGCGACCUCGCCGCAGCCUCCCCUGCGUAGUAGCACACACCUCGCACCGGAGCGCGGAGACGGUCACGCCGUAAAACGCCCAACUUCUUAGAGUUGACCUCGGAUCAGGUAGGAAUACCCGCUGAACUUAAGCAUAUCAAUAAGCGGAGGA